AAUUUAAACUACAACUCCCAAACGUCACAUCGGCAAAAGGUUAGCACACAGCGGUGCGCGGAGAAGACACGUUUAGCAGUCAGAAAUAUUGUACUGUAGUAGCUUUAAAUUACAUUCCUGGGGGAAUGCACUUUUUAAAGUCUACUCACUGGUGGCUUCCCAGUCGACUCACUCACCAUUGGGCUAUCCUCUACUCUCUUCACUGCCUCGGCAUAGGAAACUUUCUGCCCCACGUGAACUCUGGCAAUCUCAACCUGUCUCCCUCUCACAGGGCACUUCAGAUCCACAGCUGCAUGGGAACCCCCACAAUUGACAGACAGGGCUUUUUCUAUGCCAACUGUACACUCCCUCUGACUGCCCUCCUGCACAUUUUUUACAUUGUGGGAUCUCACUGCUGCAAUGUGUCCGAAUCGUUGGCACUUAAAGCACCAAAGUGGGUUCGAAACAGGCCCUCGCAGAAAAUCUAAUAUAACCUAACCAGACCUUAUGAGGUAGAAACUCUGUGUCAAAGCUCAACAAAACUGACAGGGUAUUGUCAGUCUCGCCAUUGCCACCCGGUCUACAUCUCACCAAACAGCAGGCGUCACAAAUACUAGGAAUAUUCCUUUUCAUUUCGUCCACCUCUAUACUCAACACUAUCACCCCUUUUAGCGGUACCCUGCUCCGGAGAGCAAAGCACACCACCGGUUGAGCCCCGGGCCGUGUGACUCGAAGUGCCUGCUCUGUCGCUGCAGGUAAUCCUGGACUGGCUCAACCUCAGAGUGCUCACCACUGCUGUCUGACUCCAUUUAGAGAUCGUCAAGAUUCUCAAGAGUGCAUGAAGACCUAUAAGUAAUAUUACUUGGUUUGUAAUCAGGAGACAUAGGUAUGUGCACCUCGAACGAAGGUGUAUACCCAGGAGACAUAUCUCUGAUCUUAACAGCGCAAUUCUUAAGCUAUCGCAUCAUCAUACCUCCCGAAAAGAAAUAAACUGGACCUCUUUCCCUCCACCAAUGCUCUGCUUACAUUCAGACUGAAUACAUGUAGGCUCCUUCUUCAAUGGUUGUGUUCUUCCCAUUACCCCAUCCCUUACUUUUAACUCUCAUUAAUUAUUGGCAAUUAACAUGCAUUAUGUUUAUUCAAAAUGACAUGAAAUCAUCGACCACCCUCUUACCAGCUCCUUAUGCUCAAGCCAUGAAAUCAUCGACCACCCUCUUACCAGCUCCUUAUGCUCAAGCCAUGAAAUCAUCGACCACCCUCUUACCAGCUCCUUAUGCUCAAGCCAUGAAAUCAUCGACCACCCUCUUACCAGCUCCUUAUGCUCAAGCCAUGAAAUCAUCGACCACCCUCUUACCAGCUCCUUAUGCUCAAGCCAUGAAAUCAUCGACCACCCUCUUACCAGCUCCUUACGCUCAAGCCAUGAAAUCAUUGACCACCCUCUUACCAGCUCCUUAUGCUCAAGCCAUGAAAUGACCCUUUCCUUCUUCAGAAGUUGCAGCUUUCAAAGACUUGGCCUCUAUUGCUUGACCUGUCAUGAUAUAUUAUUAUAUUGCUAGUUUGUUUUUUGCUCUUCAAGUGCUUUGAGACUCUAUGGAAAGCGCUAUAGAAAUGUAAUCAAUUAUUAUUAUUAUAACCUAGACGGCAUAUUGUAAAAACAUCACAAAUUAAACAGACAUUCAAGUAUG